rnacentral:snRNA from 1 species
AGCUCUGCGCAGUGGCGGUAUCGUAGCCAAUCAGGUUUAUCCGAGGUGCGAUUAUUGCUAAUAGACAGUAGGUGAUAUUAUUGCUUCCCCAGCUCUACAUUUUUACAUUUCUUAGCUAGGA